rnacentral:rRNA from 1 species
GAUGAACGCUGGCGGCGUGCCUAAUACACGCAAGUCGAGCGAACGGACGAGAAGCUUGCUUCUCUGAUGUUAGCGGCGGACGGGUGAGCAACACGUGGAUAACCUACCUAUAAGACUGGGAUAACUUCGGGAAACCGGAGCUAAUACCGGAUAAUAUUUUGAACCGCAUGGUUCAAAAGUGAAAGACGGUCUUGCUGUCACUUAUAGAUGGAUCCGCGCUGCAUUAGCUAGUUGGUAAGGUAACGGCUUACCAAGGCAACGAUGCAUAGCCGACCUGAGAGGGUGAUCGGCCACACUGGAACUGAGACACGGUCCAGACUCCUACGGGAGGCAGCAGUAGGGAAUCUUCCGCAAUGGGCGAAAGCCUGACGGAGCAACGCCGCGUGAGUGAUGAAGGUCUUCGGAUCGUAAAACUCUGUUAUUAGGGAAGAACAUAUGUGUAAGUAACUGUGCACAUCUUGACGGUACCUAAUCAGAAAGCCACGGCUAACUACGUGCCAGCAGCCGCGGUAAUACGUAGGUGGCAAGCGUUAUCCGGAAUUAUUGGGCGUAAAGCGCGCGUAGGCGGUUUUUUAAGUCUGAUGUGAAAGCCCACGGCUCAACCGUGGAGGGUCAUUGGAAACUGGAAAACUUGAGUGCAGAAGAGGAAAGUGGAAUUCCAUGUGUAGCGGUGAAAUGCGCAGAGAUAUGGAGGAACACCAGUGGCGAAGGCGACUUUCUGGUCUGUAACUGACGCUGAUGUGCGAAAGCGUGGGGAUCAAACAGGAUUAGAUACCCUGGUAGUCCACGCCGUAAACGAUGAGUGCUAAGUGUUAGGGGGUUUCCGCCCCUUAGUGCUGCAGCUAACGCAUUAAGCACUCCGCCUGGGGAGUACGACCGCAAGGUUGAAACUCAAAGGAAUUGACGGGGACCCGCACAAGCGGUGGAGCAUGUGGUUUAAUUCGAAGCAACGCGAAGAACCUUACCAAAUCUUGACAUCCUUUGACAACUCUAGAGAUAGAGCUUUCCCCUUCGGGGGACAAAGUGACAGGUGGUGCAUGGUUGUCGUCAGCUCGUGUCGUGAGAUGUUGGGUUAAGUCCCGCAACGAGCGCAACCCUUAAGCUUAGUUGCCAUCAUUAAGUUGGGCACUCUAAGUUGACUGCCGGUGACAAACCGGAGGAAGGUGGGGAUGACGUCAAAUCAUCAUGCCCCUUAUGAUUUGGGCUACACACGUGCUACAAUGGACAAUACAAAGGGCAGCGAAACCGCGAGGUCAAGCAAAUCCCAUAAAGUUGUUCUCAGUUCGGAUUGUAGUCUGCAACUCGACUACAUGAAGCUGGAAUCGCUAGUAAUCGUAGAUCAGCAUGCUACGGUGAAUACGUUCCCGGGUCU